GCCGAUAUAGCUCAGUGGUAGAGCAACUCCAUGGUAAGGAGUAGGUCAGCGGUUCAAGUCCGCUUAUCGGCUCCA
rnacentral:tRNA from 4 species